UACGAAGGGUGCUAGCGUUGUUCGGAAUCACUGGGCGUAAAGCGCGCGUAGGCGGCUUAUCAAGUCAGGGGUGAAAUGCCAAGGCUCAACCUUGGAACUGCCUUUGAAACUGAUAAGCUAGAGUAUUGGAGGGGAGUGCGGAAUUUCUAAUGUAGCGGUGAAAUGCGUAGAUAUUAGAAGGAACACCGGUGGCGAAGGCGGCACUCUGGACAAUUACUGACGCUGAGGCGCGAAAGCGUGGGGAUCAAACAGG
rnacentral:rRNA from 1 species